UACAGAGGGGGCAAGCGUUAUUCGGAAUUAUUGGGCGUAAAGGGCGCGUAGGCGGUUCUUCAAGUCUCUCGUGAAAUCCCUCGGCUUAACUGAGGACGUGCGGGAGAUACUGAAGGGCUUGAGUCCGGAAGAGGGUGGUGGAAUUCCCAGUGUAGCGGUGAAAUGCGUAGAUAUUGGGAGGAACACCGGUGGCGAAGGCGGCCACCUGGGAAGAUACUGACGCUGAGGUGCGAAAGCGUGGGGAGCAAACAGG
rnacentral:rRNA from 1 species